rnacentral:rRNA from 1 species
CAGGCGGUACGUUAGGUCUGUCGUGAAAUCCCCAGGCUCAACCUGGGNAUGGCGGUGGAAACCGGCGCACUAGAGUNUGGGAGAGGGUGGUGGNAUUCCAGGUGUAGCGGUSAAAUGCGUAGAGAUCUGGAGGAACAUCAGUGGCGAAGGCGCCACCUGGCCCAAUACUGACGCUGAGGCACSAAAGCGUGGGGAGCAAACAGGAUUAGAUACCCUNGUAGUCCACGCCCUMAACGAUGAAUACUAGAUGUUUGGUACCUAGCGUMCUSAGUGUCGUASUAACGCGAUAAGUAUUCCGCCUNGNAAGUACGGCCGC